rnacentral:rRNA from 1 species
UACGAAGGGUGCAAGCGUUGCUCGGAAUUAUUGGGCGUAAAGGGUUGGUAGGUGGUCUUGUUUGUCUAAGGUGAAAUCCCAUGGCUUAACUGUGGAAGUGCCUUAGAAACGGCAAGACUAGAGUCCUAGAGGGGUUUGUGGAAUUCCCGGUGUAGCGGUGAAAUUCGUAGAUAUUCGGAAGAACACCAGUGGCGAAGGCGGCUCACUGGACCGGCAUUGACGCUGAGGUGCGAAAGCGUGGGGAGCAAACAGG